GGACCCGCACAAGCGGUGGAGCAUGUGGUUUAAUUCGAUGCAACGCGAAAAAACCUUACCUACUCUUGACAUACUUGGAAGCUCUUGUAAUGAGAGUAUGCCUUUUUGGAACCAAGAUACAGGUGCUGCAUGGCUGUCGUCAGCUCGUGUCGUGAGAUGUUCCGUUAAGUCGGAUAACGAGCGCAACCCUUACCCUUAUUUGCCAGCGAUUCGGUCGGGAACUAUAAGGGGACUGCCGGUGAUAAACCGGAGGAAGGUGAGGACGACGUCAAGUCAUCAUGGCCCUUACGAGUAGGGCUACACACGUGCUACAAUGGGGAAUACAGACGGACGCUAAGCCGCAGGUGGUG
rnacentral:rRNA from 1 species